rnacentral:ncRNA from 1 species
GCGCGGGGACGACCCCGCCCGCGCGACGGCCUAUCCGUUUCGGGACGACCCGG